AUGUUCUACAUAUUUCUGCUAUUGCUGACCACAGCAGCAACCUGUGUGAAAUGUGAUAUUGGACUAAUUCAGCCGAGUUCAGAGCUUAUAAAGCCAGGAGGGUCUCUGACCAUCAGCUGUAAAGUAUCUGGUUAUUCAGUUACUGAUGAUAACUAUGCGACAGGUUGGAUUCGGCAGCCUGCAGGGAAAACUCUGGAGUGGAUAAUCCACAUCUGGGGUGGUGGGAGUAUUUACCAAAAAGAGUCUCUGAAAAGCAAGUUCAGUAUUUCUAAAGACUCCUCCAGCAGCACAGUGACUUUACAAGGACAGAACAUGCAGCCUGAAGACACAGCUGUGUAUUACUGUGCCCGUUAUAGAGAAUGUUGGAGUCAAACGCUGAUCCAGUCUGAAGCAGUGGUCAUUACACCUGGUGGAUCUCAUACACUGACCUGUACAGCAUCCAGUCUAGACUUUGAUGGCUACUGGAUGGUCUGGGUCAGACAGGCUGCUGGAAAAGGCUUAGAAUGGUUGGCAUUAAUCAGAUAUGACAGUCAGACCAAGACUUACUCUCAGUCUGUCCAAGGAAGGUUCACCAUCUCCAGAGACAACAGCAAAGACCAGCUGUAUCUGCACAUGAACAGCGUGAAGAACGAAGACACUGCUGUGUAUCACUGUGCUCGACAGCCACACUGA